rnacentral:rRNA from 1 species
GACGAACGCUGGCGGCGUGCCUAAUACAUGCAAGUCGAGCGAGUCUGCCUUGAAGAUCGGAGUGCUUGCAAUCUGUGAAACAAGAUACAGGCUAGCGGCGGACGGGUGAGUAACACGUGGGUAACCUGCCCAAGAGAUCGGGAUAACACCUGGAAACAGAUGCUAAUACCGGAUAACAACAGAUGAUGCCUAUCAACUGUUUAAAAGAUGGUUCUGCUAUCACUCUUGGAUGGACCUGCGGUGCAUUAGCUAGUUGGUAGGGUAACGGCCUACCAAGGCGAUGAGGCAUAGCCGAGUUGAGAGACUGAUCGGCCACAUUGGGACUGAGACACGGCCCAAACUCCUACGGGAGGCAGCAGUAGGGAAUCUUCGACAAGGGACGCAAGGCUGAUGGAGCAACGCCGCGUGAGUGAAGAAGGGUUUCGGCUCGUAAAGCUCUGUUGUUGGUGAAGAAGGACAGGGGUAGUAACGGACCUUUGUUUGACGGUAAUCAAUUAGAAAGUCACGGCUAACUAAGU